rnacentral:rRNA from 1 species
UACGUAGGGUGCAAGCGUUAAUCGGAAUUACUGGGCGUAAAGCGUGCGCAGGCGGUUCGCUAAGACCGAUGUGAAAUCCCCGGGCUUAACCUGGGAACUGCAUUGGUGACUGGCGGGCUAGAGUAUGGCAGAGGGGGGUAGAAUUCCACGUGUAGCAGUGAAAUGCGUAGAGAUGUGGAGGAACACCGAUGGCGAAGGCAGCCCCCCUGGGUCAAGAUUGACGCUCAUGCACGAAAGCGUGGGGAGCAAACAGG